AGCAGUCGCCGCGGGAAUACGAAGGGUGCAAGCGUUAAUCGGAAUUACUGGGCGUAAAGGGUGCGUAGGCGGUUGUUAAGUCAGAUGUGAAAUCCCCGAGCUUAACUCGGGAACUGCAUUUGAAACUGGCAGGCUAGAGUCUCGUAGAGGGGGGUAGAAUUCCAGGUGUAGCGGUGAAAUGCGUAGAGAUCUGGAGGAAUACCGGUGGCGAAGGCGGCCCCCUGGACGAAGACUGACGCUCAGGUACGAAAGCGUGGGGAGCAAACAGGAUUAGAUACCCCAGUAGUCCCUGUCUCUUAUACA
rnacentral:rRNA from 1 species